CUGUAAGAGGAACACCUCCAUAUUGGCAAAGAGUUCAAAAAGACUUACUAGCAAUGAUUCGUCAGCUGGGAAUACCAACUUUUUUUGUCAGCUUUUCAAGCGCUGAUUUAAGAUGGCCAGAGGUAGUAAAUACAAUUUUAAAACAACAAGGUGAUACUACAAGGACUGCGGAAACGAUGGAUUGGAAUGAGAAAUGUGCUGUAUUAAGAAGUAAUCCUGUCACUGCUGCUCGAAUGUUUGACAAAAGAUUUCAUCUGUUUGUUACAAAUGUUAUUAAAUCUAAAGCAAAACCAAUAGGUAAAGUAGUAGACUCUUUUUUUAGAGUGGAAUUUCAAUUACGUGGAAGUCCUCAUAUUCAUGGGCUUGUGUGGAUUGAUAAUGCUCCUAAACUAGACACAGAUAGUGAUGAAAGAGUUAAAGAAUUUGUUGAUAAAUACAUUACAUGCCAUUUACCAACAAUAGAAGAGGAUGAAGAGUUGAAGGAUAUACUAGAACAUGUGCAAAUGCAUAGCAAAAAACAUUCUAAAUCUUGUAAAAAGGGGCGCAAAGAAUGUCGCUUUAAUUUUCCUAGACCUCCUUCACAAAGAACAUUUGUGGUUAGACCCAAACCUGAUAAAGACCCAUUUGUUAUGGCUAAAGCUAGGGAUCUAGUAUCAUCAGUGAAAGACAAAUUGAGGGAUGCUACAAGUGAAUACAAUAGUAUAGAAGAAUUGUUUGAAGAGCUUAAUACAUCACAGGAGGAAUUUGAAAAGGCAUAUUGUAUGGUUGCAGAAAGGGUAUCUAUUGUACAUAGUCGAAAUUUAAAAUCUGUAUGGGUAAAUCAAUAUAAUAAACAUGUAUUGCGAGCUUGGAAUGCUAAUUGUGAUAUACAGUUUGUAUGUGAUGUAUAUGCUUGUGUUCAGUAUAUAGUAGCCUACAUUUCUAAAUCAGAACGUGAAUUGGGCAAGGUUUUGCAAGCUGUUCAUGAUGAAAUAUCAACUGGUGGUAACGAUACUAAAACAUGUAUGAAGGAACUUGGCCAUGCUUUUAUUAAAAAUAGAGAAGUUUCCGCUCAAGAAGCUGUGUAUAGAGUGUGUGAUCUCAGUUUAAAGGAAUUUUCACGAAAAGUAGAAUUCAUACCGGUGGGUGAAAAUCCAACAAGAUUAAGUUUACCAUUGUCAGUCAUUAAGUCAAAAUCAGAUGAUGAUGAUAAUAUUUGGGCCAAGAACAAGGUAGACAGGUACAAGAAUCGUCCUCAUAAUGAAGUGUUUGAAUUCAUGUGUUUAGCAACUUUCUGUUCUGAUUACAGGGUUUUGUAUGGCAAGCAAGUAAAACAACAGGAGAAUAUUCAUAAAUUGUUGAAUGGACAUGGUUUUGUGCAGAAAAGAACAAAGAAAAAUGCUAUCAUUAGAUAUCCAAGAUUUAACGUUGAGACAAAUACUGAAAGGUUUUAUCAAAGUAUGCUUCAACUUUUUUUACCUUAUAGAACAAAUGAUGAACUAAAGCCAUCAGAGUUUAAGUGUUAUCAACAGUUCUUUUUUCUUGGAAGUGUGCAACUUAAUUUGAAAGUUAAAAAGGUUCGGACAAUAGUUACCAGAAAUAAAGCUUUCUAUGAAAAAGAUGCAGAAUCAUUUGAUAAAGCAAAGGAAUUUCUUGAGAAUAUGCCAGAAGAUAUUGAUGCUUGGUCAACCUUGUGUCCAGAAUCAGAGAAAAGUAGGCUUGAGGAAGAGAAUGACAAAGACUCUGUUACAUAUGAGAGUGAUAGCGAGUUUGCGGUACCUGACUUAUGUACGAAGGAUAGUAGUGAUUCACACCAUAGGAUUGAAUUACGUGAACCUAAAUUGUCAGAGCAAGAUAAAAUGUCGUUAUUUAGAUCCAUGAACACUAAACAAUGUGAAGUCUUUUACAAAGUGAGAGAAUGGUGUAUUAAUAAGACUUUAGACUCUAAUAUUGACCCUUUUUUUGUGUUCCUUACUGGAGGAGCUGGUGUUGGAAAAUCACAUCUUGUACGAUGUAUAUAUACAGAAGCAACACGGAUAUUAGCAAAAACUUCUGAAAACCCUGAUUCCAUUGUAGUUUUGAAAGUUGCACCAACUGGGGUUGCAGCCUUUAACAUUCAAGGUCUAACAAUCCAUAGUGCUUUCUCACUCCCCCUUAGAAUGCGUUUACCUUAUGUGCCACUGACUGAAGAGAGACUUAGUUCAUUGCGAAACACCUUAUCUCAAGUUCAAAUUGUUAUAAUUGAUGAAAUUUCUAUGGUGGAUCAGAAUAUCUUUGGUUAUAUUCAUGGACGUCUUCAACAAAUAAAAGGAAAGUCUAGUGACUUUGGUCAUGUAAGUGUUAUUGCUGUGGGAGACUUUUAUCAAUUGGCUCCAGUGGGAGGCACACCUUUGUAUAAUGAAUCUGUUAAUUCAAGGUUAUGGCAUGACAAUUUCAAGAUAAUAGAACUAGACGAGAUAAUGCGUCAGAAAGAUGAUGCUGAGUUUGCAAAUUUACUGAACAAACUACGCAUAAGAAAAAGAAAUGAAGAUGUAGAUGAACAUGAUCUAUCACUUUUAAGAAGUUGUGAGGCUCAUGAAUAUACAGAUGAUGUUUUACAUAUCUAUCCUAAAAAUAAAGAUGUUGAUGCACACAAUAUACAUAUGCUGUCUAAAAAUUUCAAAGAAAUCAAAGUUACUAAAGCAGUCGAUUCCAACCCUAAAUCUAAUUCUAUAAAGAAAAACAAAAAAGAAAAAGUAACAUUACCUGAAAAAUUAUCCAUUGCAGUUGGGGUGAGGGUUAUCCUUACACGAAACAUAGAUACAUCAGAUGGUUUAAGUAAUGGCCAAAUUGGAACUGUAAAGGCAUUUAUUGAAGGAACUGAACCAUUUACACUAAAGUAUAUAUAUGUGCAGUUUGAUAAUGAUAAAGUUGGUGCCAAAUUUAGAAAGACUAAUAAGAUAUUUAAAGAUUAUGAAAAUUCUGUUCGUAUUGCAAAAGUAGAGGAGGUUCAUGAUAAUUUUAAACGCUUGCAAUUUCCAUUAAAGCUAGCCUAUGCUUCAACAAUUCACAAAGUUCAAGGUUUAAGUUUGGAAAAGUGUUUAUUUAAUAUGAAAGGUAUCUUUUGUGCUGGCCAAGCUUAUGUGGGAUUGAGCCGUUUAACAUCUUUAAAAGGACUGACUUUGAAAGAGUUUGAUAUUAAAUACAUAUAUUGUAAUGAGAGUAUUUCUGAGUCCAUUGCACAAAUGCCUCACUUUUUGGAGACACAAUGUACACCAAGCUUAUCUUAUGAGCACAUGAUAAUAUUACAUAAUGUUCAAGGUUUAAGAUUACACUUUGAAGACCUUUGUAAACAGAUUCAAAAUAUGAAUGCAGACUUUAUUUGCCUCACAGAAACCUGGCUGAAAGAUGAGUAUUUUCCUUUGGAUGUAGAAUUAUCAGAUUACAAAAGUUACCAUCAACCAAGAUACAUGGCUUAUAAUAAUUCAAGUGAAAUAACUACCAAACUUGGGCAACAAUCACAUGGUGGAGUGUCAUGUUACGGCAAAAUUACCAAAUCAUUUUCUAGAUUACAUUUAACAAAUAACAUUGAAAAUAUUGCUAUUCACAUAGUUUCAAAGUUUUCAGUCCUACUUGUUGUAAUAUAUAGACCAGCCUCAUACAAAAUGUCUGUGUUUCUUUUGCAUUUGAAGAAUUUGGUAGAAACAGCUCAUAAUCAUAGUCAAAAAGUUAUCAUUAUGGGAGAUUUUAAUGAAAAUUAUACACAAAGUUCUUGUUUAGUAAAGUUUUUCAUUGGUUAUGGAUAUAAGCAAUUUGUAACCAAUUCAACAACAGAAAGAGGAACUAUAAUAGACCAUGUUUACAUAAGAGGGUUUGAUUUGCAAGAUAUUUGUAUUGUACCAACUUACUAUAGUUAUCAUGAAUGUAUUAAGAUCCUAGUUUAGCAUUACUGCAUAUUUGUCAACAAGGAAAGUAAUACAAGCUUUAUUUUUAGUGCUAAAUUGUAUCAGGCAAUGUGAACACUCCCUGUACCGUGGAGGAGUCCAAGUCUACCCCCCUCAAGUUCUUGAUUGAGAAGCACGCUGGUGGUGUAGAGGGGGGUUGGAAUGACCUCUUAACUGUCAACCCAGGGGGUUCAUCUACUUCUAUGAUCCCUAAAGGAUCAUCUGCAGAAGGG
rnacentral:lncRNA from 1 species